AGGAUGCCAUACUUGUGUAUGCAGCAAUCUUAGGAUCCUCUCCAGCUGAUCGAAUUCCACUGAAUCCUUCCCUCCCUUGUUUACCAGAUUUAUCUUCCAAUGAGAGUUCAAACAUUUUGGGAUCACUUAACCUGGGAAAGUACAAAG